CUGGCCAAUGCAGCGGCACCAGGACGUGGUGGGGGAGCAGAAGCCAGCCUGGGCCACGUGCAGCACCCGGGAAGAGCCCUCGGGGCUGAGAGACACCCCGCGGCACGGCUACGGGGCGCUUCCCCUGCUCUCUUCAGACCCGAGUGGGACCCAUCAUGCCCAGCACUGCACAGGGGCUUCCAGCUCACCAGCCCCCGCUGUGCCGAGGAAAUGGAGCUCCCUUGGCAGGGAACAAGGGCACUGCAGCUGAGGCUGGGGGGGAACAGCACACUGACCCUAGCACCUCCUAUCACAAGGUGUGCCCUGAUGCAGAGGGAGGCCAACCGGCUGAGGACUUUGCACCCAUCUUGGGAGAAAAACAAGCUACAGAGCACCGAUGCAACUCCCUGUUACAGGAGACGGUGCCGAUCUGCUUCUCCCCCAGACCCAAGCUGCCUGCCCUGCAGCUGAGGCUGCCCAACUCAUUGCAUUUGUGCCCAAGCUUGGCAACGACAACAAUACAAGACCAAUUGCAAAGCUCUUUAAAGCAGGAAGAGGGCAUCCACCCACCAGUAAACAUGGCUCCUCUGGCCUGGAUACGUCACCACUGUCAUUGCUGAAAACUCAGGACAAUUCGGCCUCUGGAGAGACAAGACUAUACAGCCUGUCUACAGCCAGGAUCUCUUCUGCAAGCUUGGACGCAGAACUGAGCAAAAACUACGUCCAAUCCAUUGAGUUAUAUCACUGUUAUGAUGGGUCAACAUUUUCCAGCUGAAGUACGGUACCUUUGGCUUAUUGAUUUUAAGGCCUUCAAUGAGAGCGUCUUCUUCCAGGCCUUUUGCUUCUUCAUUUUGAUCUGGUUUAGCUGGCAUGUGAAUUGCUUUCUUUCCCUUGCUGAUCGGGUGAAUUAAACCUUGGCAAACAUGACACUGAGGUCACUGAGAAACGGGCUUUUGUGGGCUCCUGCUUCAGCCGCACUUCUGUGGCUUGGCACAGACCCCUCGAGCAGAGUCAAAGCUGACCACAAAUAUUCGGCAUUUCUGCCCUAGCAUGUUGGGUGAAUAGGAAGAGGUGUUUCAUAGCCUUAACUCUCUUCUCAUCACUAGUUGAAGCCUCAAGGUAACUGCAGCUGUUACCUUGAACCGCUAUCAGUGCUGUCCACACAACAAUUAUCCGCGCAGGCCUGGCCCGUUAUGGGUGGCCUUGGCUACCAGCCUUCAGUCUACUUUCCUCUGCUUAUUGACACUGUACUGAGCACUUAAUCUUUGCAAGUUGAUGCAUAUACCCAGAACAGGGGCCGGUGCUAGCUCCACUGCCUGCGCCCUUCAUUGCGGUGUUAAACCCCGUGACGUGUACAAGUGCCCCUUGUCUCCACCAUCCCUACGGCCCAGCGUGCCGAUAGCACGGUCACUGCAGUUAGCACUGUGCCCAAAAGCCUUCUGGCCUGGUCAGGAAGACGAGGCUUGGGUGUGUUGGCCAGUGCUAGGUCAAACCUUAAUCGUCAAACUGACUUUCUGCUCAGGCACCUUCUUUUCUCUCCAGGGACAGCAGGACAUUCAAGGGAAGGGCAGAUCACCUCCAUGCAUCACGGAUCAGUGCGAUGGACUGCCACGUUUCAUUCCCAUGCCUGUUGGCUGUCAGUGCGUUGCACGCUGCAUGCUCAGCACAGACCCUUGGUCCAUCUUGCCAUUGCUCGAGAGAGUAAAACUUCCCUCGAAUGCUCCUGUUCUGCCGCCAGGGAGCCAGCGGCGCAGGGGGAGGAAGAAAGGUGCCUCAGCAGAAGCCAGCACGGGAACGCAGAUCUCCCGGGCAGUCCCGGGCCAGCUGCUGGGCGCGCAGCCUGGUCUCGGAGACUUGGCUGUUUCACAGGCCGUGCCAGCAAGCCAUAAAGAGUAGAAGGGUUUAAAUUAUUUGUCA